UGGGGAAUAUUGCACAAUGGAGGGAACUCUGAUGCAGCGACGCCGCGUGAACGAAGAAGGCCUUCGUGUCGUAAAGUUCUUUUAUAUGGGAAGAUAAUGACGGUACCAUAAGAAAAAGCCCCGGCUAACUACGUGCCAGCAGCCGCGGUAAUACGUAGGGGGCUAGCGUUGUCCGGAAUCACUGGGCGUAAAGGGUUCGCAGGCGGAAAUGCAAGUCAGGUGUAAAAGGCAGUAGCUUAACUACUGUAAGCAUUUGAAACUGCAUAUCUUGAGAAGAGUAGAGGUAAGUGGAAUUUUUAGUGUAGCGGUGAAAUGCGUAGAUAUUAAAAAGAAUACCGGUGGCGAAGGCGACUUACUGAGCUCAUUCUGACGCUGAGGAACGAAAGCGUGGGUAGCAAACAGG
rnacentral:rRNA from 1 species